rnacentral:tRNA from 1 species
UCCCUGUUGGUCCAGUGGCUAAGACUUGGUGCUCCCAAUGCAGGGAACCCAGGUUCAAUCCCUGGUCAGGGAA